GGGUUUGUUUGUAGGGUAUUUAAGGGCACUAGGCCCGCUGGGUAUUUGUGCGGGCUUGUUUUUUUUUUUUUUGUUACGCUGUGUUUGAUGGUGUGAUUUAUUCGUGUCUUUAUUCUCCGGACUAUUUUUGUCCUGUUGUUUGGACUGGCAAUGUAUAUACGCCCUGUGUGUUGGCGUGACUGUUUUGUUGCGCUGGUGAAUAAAUUUGACAAACGACUGAACCCUGCUCUCUGCGCCUGAUUCCACCCACCACUCCUAGUUGAUCGUAACAAAAUGUCUGCUCUCUCCAAAAUUACAACCGAUUGCAGCAUUACCGCAACAAUGGAGGAGGCAAGUGGAACAGGGAAAAGAUUUUCUCUUAAUUGGUUGUGUCCCCAUUCAGACGAGCUGACAACAAAAGACGACUGGAGAAGGGGAGGAAAGACAGAAUGAAAGAGAGGGGGGGGUGAGGACUUCAUGAGCACUUCCUCUGUGACAGAUUAUGCAACAGUCAUUUGGUUGAUGUUAUACCGGACAUUCUGGUGGGAAUCCGCCACACCUCAUCCAGUUCCAGCCUAUCCAAACAGCUGUUCACAACAGCUGCACCAUUGAGUGGCCCAAACACAGUCCUCUGUCCACCUGCCACCUACAAGCUCUACCUCUCUCUCCCUCUCUACCUCUGUCUACCUCUCUCUCCAUUGCUCCCCUAUUCCCAUAAAUUUGUCAUUACACAAGUAGAGAGCUAAAAAUAACUAACCUGUUUUUAAAAAUUUAUUUUAAUUGUAUUUAUUUCACCUUUAUUUAACCAGGAAAGCUAGUUGAGAACAAGUUCUCAUUUACAACUGCGACCUGGCCAAUAUAAAGCAAAGCAGUUUGACACAUACAACACAGUUACACAUGGAAUAAAUAAACAUACAGUCAAUAAUACAGAAGAAAAAUAUUUAUACAUUUAAAAAAAUGUCACACACAAAAACUCCCCUCAGUAGUAUAGUCAAAUAGAUAGUUUAUUGUUGACGAGGGAGUUGUCUGGCGUUUCCAGUUUUCUAACCACAGUUUACUAAGAUGAGCAAUAAGCCACUCCCCUCUCAGCUUUCUGACCACAAUGUCCAGUGACAAGUACACUCACUCACAGACAAACUAAUACACUUGUUGCAUAUUAAUAACAUCUGUAUGUGUGUGCGUGCGUCUGUGUGAACAAUGGAUGAGAACACUACAACUCAAAACCACAGAAUGGUGUGUGAUUUAUACAUUAUUGGUGUUAAUCAAAUAUAACUCAUCUAUAAAGGGAGUUUAAGCACUUCAACUCACACUCAUUUGUGUUCUAAAAUGGCAUGUCUUUAGACAGCUGACGGAAGACUUCUGACAAUUAUGAUAUAAUAGUAGGCUAGGCUACCCUUCCGUAUGCAUGAUGACUCCAUUCCUCCUGUUAAAGUAUCCACUAAAUUUAGAUAGGGGGAGGGGGGGGGGUAGUUGCCCAGAUGGUAGUUGGUAGCCUAUCCAUGACAGUGCACUGGACAGGCACUCA